UACAAACUGUGGAAUUGCCCUAACAGAACGUCCGAAUUUACAGGUCUUGGCCGGAGACCGGAGCCAUGUCUGUGUUAUCCCCACUGUAGACAAUCCUUGCUUCCUCUGGACAUCUGGAGCAGGCCCAAUUUGACUGAGAGCCUUCCCCCACUAAGUUACAGAUCCAGCCCCACCAUCACCACCAGAGUUGAGUCCAAAUCCAACACUCUAGGCCGGGUAGUGCUGGGACUUUGCCAGCCUCCUGCUGAGAAGUGAAUUCUCCCCUUGGCAAACUGCAGCCAGCCAGCCUCCUGGGUCGAGAGCCAAGCCAAAAGAUGUCUGAGAGAAGAAACCUGGGGUCCUGCAAAGGUAAGUGGGUCCCAGCCCACUCUCAAUCCCCCCCUCUCUGUGUGAUUGCUAUUCCACACUGGAGUCACCUGCUCUGUGCUUCUGAGGAACCUCACCUCUGGCACAUCAAUGGAAAUUGUCCUUCCCUUUUUAUUUAUUUUUAUUUAUUUUUUAUUUUUUGCCACCCUCACUGGCCACUAAGAGGUAGCCCUAGCUCCUCCUCUCCUGCCUGGUUUUGACAGGACUCACUCCAUUGAGUCCUGUCUCGUCUCUUUGCAGCCCUCCUCCUCCCCCCCUUCAGCCAGCACUUAGGCCCUCCCUGAUUUAGCCCGUUACCUUGACAACCACUUGGGCCUGUCUCCCUCAUCACCACUGAAAACCUGAAGGUGGUUUUCCAGCUGCGGUACAUUUGCCCAAGUUGGGCACCCCUCCAGCUUCUAUUGGCUCGCCCUCUAUACAGCUGUACCCAAUAUAACAAACACAACCUUCCUGGCCCCUCAGCUGUAGUCUCGAAAUUGAUCUCACUGGUCCCGGGAACUCCGUCAAUACUGCCUCCUCUAGACUGAGCUCCUCACAGGCAGGAACAUGGUUGUUUCUCAAUAAACAAGUUGCAAAAAAAGGAA
ensembl:lincRNA AI480526 expressed sequence AI480526